rnacentral:misc_RNA from 1 species
AGCAGCCGCGGUAAUUCCAGCUCCAAUAGCGUAUAUUAAAGUUGUUGCAGUUAAAAAGCUCGUAGUUGAACUUCAGGCCUGUCCAGAUGGUCCGCCUUAAUUGGUGUGUACUGUCCUUGGGUGGGUCCUACCUUCUGGCGAAGCGGCAUGGCCUUAACUGGUUGUGUUGGGGAACCAGGACUUUUACUGUGAAAAAAUUAGAGUGUUCAAAGCAGGCAAAUAUGCUCGAAUACAUUAGCAUGGAAUAAUGGAAUAGGACGAUGGUUCUAUUUUGUUGGUUCUAGGACCGUUGUAAUGAUUAAUAGGGAUAGUUGGGGGCAUUAGUAUUCAAUUGUCAGAGGUGAAAUUCUUGGAUUUAUUGAAGACUAACUACUGCGAAAGCAUUUGCCAAGGAUGUUUUCAUUAAUCAAGAACGAAAGUUAGGGGAUCGAAGACGAUCAGAUACCGUCGUAGUCUUAACCAUAAACUAUGCCGACUAGGAAUCGGGCGAUGUUGACAAAAUGACUCGCUCGGCACCUCA